rnacentral:rRNA from 1 species
GUAGGGCGGGACACGUGGUAUCCUGUCUGAAUAUGGGGGGACCAUCCUCCAAGGCUAAAUACUCCUGACUGACCGAUAGUGAACCAGUACCGUGAGGGAAAGGCGAAAAGAACCCCGGCGAGGGGAGUGAAAAAGAACCUGAAACCGUGUACGUACAAGCAGUGGGAGCACAGAGCAAUCUGUGUGACUGCGUACCUUUUGUAUAAUGGGUCAGCGACUUAUAUUCUGUAGCAAGGUUAACCGAAUAGGGGAGCCGAAGGGAAACCGAGUCUUAACUGGGCGUUAAGUUGCAGGGUAUAGACCCGAAACCCGGUGAUCUAGCCAUGGGCAGGUUGAAGGUUGGGUAACACUAACUGGAGGACCGAACCGACUAAUGUUGAAAAAUUAGCGGAUGACUUGUGGCUGGGGGUGAAAGGCCAAUCAAACCGGGAGAUAGCUGGUUCUCCCCGAAAGCUAUUUAGGUAGCGCCUCGUGAAUUCAUCUCCGGGGGUAGAGCACUGUUUCGGCAAGGGGGUCAUCCCGACUUACCAACCCGAUGCAAACUGCGAAUACCGGAGAAUGUUAUCACGGGAGACACACGGCGGGUGCUAACGUCCGUCGUGAAGAGGGAAACAACCCAGACCGCCAGCUAAGGUCCCAAAGUCAUGGUUAAGUGGGAAACGAUGUGGGAAGGCCCAGACAGCCAGGAUGUUGGCUUAGAAGCAGCCAUCAUUUAAAGAAAGCGUAAUAGCUCACUGGUCGAGUCGGCCUGCGCGGAAGAUGUAACGGGGCUAAACCAUGCACCGAAGCUGCGGCAGCGACGCUUAUGCGUUGUUGGGUAGGGGAGCGUUCUGUAAGCCUGCGAAGGUGUGCUGUGAGGCAUGCUGGAGGUAUCAGAAGUGCGAAUGCUGACAUAAGUAACGAUAAAGCGGGUGAAAAGCCCGCUCGCCGGAAGACCAAGGGUUCCUGUCCAACGUUAAUCGGGGCAGGGUGAGUCGACCCCUAAGGCGAGGCCGAAAGGCGUAGUCGAUGGGAAACAGGUUAAUAUUCCUGUACUUGGUGUUACUGCGAAGGGGGGACGGAGAAGGCUAUGUUGGCCGGGCGACGGUUGUCCCGGUUUAAGCGUGUAGGCUGGUUUUCCAGGCAAAUCCGGAAAAUCAAGGCUGAGGCGUGAUGACGAGGCACUACGGUGCUGAAGCAACAAAUGCCCUGCUUCCAGGAAAAGCCUCUAAGCAUCAGGUAACAUCAAAUCGUACCCCAAACCGACACAGGUGGUCAGGUAGAGAAUACCAAGGCGCUUGAGAGAACUCGGGUGAAGGAACUAGGCAAAAUGGUGCCGUAACUUCGGGAGAAGGCACGCUGAUAUGUAGGUGAAGCGACUUGCUCGUGGAGCUGAAAUCAGUCGAAGAUACCAGCUGGCUGCAACUGUUUAUUAAAAACACAGCACUGUGCAAACACGAAAGUGGACGUAUACGGUGUGACGCCUGCCCGGUGCCGGAAGGUUAAUUGAUGGGGUCAGCGCAAGCGAAGCUCUUGAUCGAAGCCCCGGUAAACGGCGGCCGUAACUAUAACGGUCCUAAGGUAGCGAAAUUCCUUGUCGGGUAAGUUCCGACCUGCACGAAUGGCGUAAUGAUGGCCAGGCUGUCUCCACCCGAGACUCAGUGAAAUUGAACUCGCUGUGAAGAUGCAGUGUACCCGCGGCAAGACGGAAAGACCCCGUGAACCUUUACUAUAGCUUGACACUGAACAUUGAGCCUUGAUGUGUAGGAUAGGUGGGAGGCUUUGAAGUGUGGACGCCAGUCUGCAUGGAGCCGACCUUGAAAUACCACCCUUUAAUGUUUGAUGUUCUAACGUGGACCCGUAAUCCGGGUUGCGGACAGUGUCUGGUGGGUAGUUUGACUGGGGCGGUCUCCUCCUAAAGAGUAACGGAGGAGCACGAAGGUUGGCUAAUCCUGGUCGGACAUCAGGAGGUUAGUGCAAUGGCAUAAGCCAGCUUGACUGCGAGCGUGACGGCGCGAGCAGGUGCGAAAGCAGGUCAUAGUGAUCCGGUGGUUCUGAAUGGAAGGGCCAUCGCUCAACGGAUAAAAGGUACUCCGGGGAUAACAGGCUGAUACCGCCCAAGAGUUCAUAUCGACGGCGGUGUUUGGCACCUCGAUGUCGGCUCAUCACAUCCUGGGGCUGAAGUAGGUCCCAAGGGUAUGGCUGUUCGCCAUUUAAAGUGGUACGCGAGCUGGGUUUAGAACGUCGUGAGACAGUUCGGUCCCUAUCUGCCGUGGGCGCUGGAGAACUGAGGGGGGCUGCUCCUAGUACGAGAGGACCGGAGUGGACGCAUCACUGGUGUUCGGGUUGUCAUGCCAAUGGCACUGCCCGGUAGCUAAAUGCGGAAGAGAUAAGUGCUGAAAGCAUCUAAGCACGAAACUUGCCCCGAGAUGAGUUCUCCCUGACUCCUUGAGAGUCCUGAAGGAACGUUGAAGACGACGACGUUGAUAGGCCGGGUGUGUAAGCGCAGCGAUGCGUUGAGCUAACCGGUACUAAUGAACCGUGAG